rnacentral:pre_miRNA from 1 species
AGGGGGAGUGCAGGAUCCUGGGCUGUGUCCCCCGGCGCCCUGGGCUCCGGGGCCUGCGCCACUGGAAUUGUGCUCCCGGGGCUGUGCAGCCCCCU